rnacentral:rRNA from 1 species
ACCCCACUAUUAGCCCUCAAGAGAAAUUCUAAGCACUACAGUUUCUUAACUAAAACUUAAAUAACAUGGCGGCGAGUCUAAAUUUCAGAGGAACCUACCAGAUAAAUGAUAACCCGCAAUUUAUUCUUACUUUACCUAAAAGUUUAUAUAUCGCCGUCUAGUAAUCUUUCGAGAAGGAUACAAAAUGUAUUAUACAGGAAGACAGGCCAUGACAUAGCCUAUGGUAAAGACAUAAGGUGGGUUACAAUAAGUACUUCUUUCAGAAAUAUAUAUAAUAUAUAGGUCAAGAUGGAUUUGAAAGUAACUGUUAAAAUAAAUAUUCAGUGAAUGUUUUUGGGUUCGUGUACACACCG